rnacentral:rRNA from 1 species
GAUGAACGCUGGCGGCGUGCCUAAUACAUGCAAGUCGAGCGAACGGACGAGAAGCUUGCUGCUCUGAUGUUAGCGGCGGACGUGUGAAUAACACGUGUAUCACCUACCUAUAAGACUGGGAUAACUUCGGGAAACCGGAGCUAAUACCGUAUAAUAUUUUGAACCGCAUGGUUCAAAAGUGAAAGACGGUCUUUCUGUCACUUCUAGAUGGAUCCGGGCUGCAUUAGCUAGUUGGUAAGUGAACGGCUUACCAAGGCAACGAUGCAUAGCCGACGUGUGAGGGUGGUAGCCGACAUGGGAGCGGGAACAGGGACCAGACUACUGAGGGAGGCCGCAGUCGGGAAUCUUCCGCAGUGGGCGAAAGCAUGGCGGAGCAACGCCACGCGUGAGAUGACGGUGCUGGGUUCGUGAAACUCUGUUAUUAGGGAAGAACAUAUGUGUAAGGAACUGUGCAGAGCUUGACGGUACCGGAUCAGAAAGCCACGGCUAACUACGUG